CGGACGGGUGAGUAACGCGUGAGUAACCUGCCUUUCAGAGGGGGAUAACGUUCUGAAAAGAACGCUAAUACCGCAUGACAUAUCGGAACCACAUGGUUUUGAUAUCAAAGAUUUUAUCGCUUGAAGAUGGACUCGCGUCCGAUUAGUUAGUUGGUGAGGUAACGGCUCACCAAGACCGCGAUCGGUAGCCGGACUGAGAGGUUGAACGGCCACAUUGGGACUGAGACACGGCCCAGACUCCUACGGGAGGCAGCAUG
rnacentral:rRNA from 1 species